rfam:Operophtera brumata OBRT01_Sc05744, whole genome shotgun sequence.
CAGAGAGAGCCUUGCGUGUGCUCUUAUUGGUAGUGUGAUGCUGAUAAUCUAUCAUAAGACACACGCGGCUCUUUCUG